CAGAAAAUAGUUUAUUUAAAAUUUUAAUUUUGGAGAUUAAAGAUAGGGAUUACUCUUUUUCUGA
rnacentral:tRNA from 1 species